rnacentral:rRNA from 1 species
GACGAACGCUGGCGGCGUGCUUAACACAUGCACGUCGAAAGAAGUGGAGAACGGGUGAGAAAUACGUGGGUAACCGGCCCUCCUUUUUGGGAUAAGCCUUGGAAAAGGGGUCUAAUACCGAAUAAAGGGGGAUGGGAUCGCGGACUAUAAGCUUGGUGGGGGGGUGAUGGCAUACCAAGGGGGUGACGGGUAGCCGGCCUGAGAGGGUGACCGGCCAACUUGGGACUGAGAUACUGCCCAGACUCCUACGGGAGGAAGCAGGGGGGUAUAUUGCACAAUGCGCGAAAGCCUGAUGCAGCGACGCCGCGUGUGGGAUGAAGGCUUUCGGGUUGUAAACCUCUUUAGCUAUCGAACGGGUAGGUGUAGAAGAAGCGCCGGCUAACUACGUGCCAGCAGCCGCGGUAAUAC